CGUCACCAUGCGAGGAAGCCACGUGGAGGUGCUCUCUGUGACUGUCUCCCCACACUUCUCAGCCGGGGCCGAUCGCACGGGCUGGCAAUCCGUCCACUUGGACCUGCUGUCAGAAGGGGGCUCCAUGCUUGGCUUAAUGCUCGGUUGCCACCAUUUUUGAAAUUCUUUUUUUUUUUUUUAAGAUUUUAUUUAUUUAUUCAUGACAUAGAAUAAAUAUCAAUAAUAAUUGACACUGCUCACAGCCUAUUAGGAGAGACUCGGAGACACACAAAUAAAGAGACCUAAAUCAAACAGCUCUUGUGCCAUGGUCUGGGUUUCGGGAAACUGUCGGACAACUCCGUCUGGCCCAUCCCCAUGACCAUCAUGGCCUAUGUUUGUCAUGGGGAACAGCCCACUCCAGGUCCCAGACGCAGUGCUAGCAGCUCACACGGACUGAGACCUACAAACAAACAGGAUUCAUGCUUCCACUGCAGUUCAGUACUGUCCCCUUAUCUGUACUUUGGGAAGCAGAUAAUCUUCUGGAGGGAUCACCAGAAGGUCAGCAGUAGCCUGACGCUAGGUCACAGCGCCUGUGUCGACCACAUCACUUCAUCACGUGGACAUUGUAUCCUCUGACGUCAUCCCUAGAAGGAGAAGGGGUGCAAUGUGGGCUAUGGCCAAUGAGCGAGCGGCACAAGUGGACAAAGAGCUGCUGGCCCUCUUGGUUCCGAGAGAUCAUACCUUACGACCUUCAAAGACGUGCUCUGUGGUGCUUGCAUACAGCUCCCGAGGCCGCUUCAAUCAAUGUCAUCUUUAUUCUGGAGCUUCGAGCUUCUGGAUGUCAGAGCAACUGCAAAAAAUGAUGGAAAUUUUUAUUUUGAGCCAAGGAAGGUAGCCCUUAAAAAAAAAAAAAAGGCAAAAGUCAACUGCAUGAAUUAGAAAGAGAAGUCUUCAGAAUGCCUGUGGGUAUGAACAUAAAUUAAUGAAAAAAAAAAGAAAGAAAGAAAGGAAGUCAAGGCCUGGCAUUCACUGCGCAAGUGACAAAGCAUAUUUAUUCUCGCUGGUGAUGGGGAUCGAGUCUCUCCGGGAUAAAACGGACGCUCAGCCUGCAGAAUGUGCUGGAACAUUAAGGGUGGUGCGAACAGGGCAGCUGUAGCCGCGGUGCAGCCCGAGGGACAGAGGUGAAAGAUUGUUCAGGUUGAGGUUCUAUUCUGAAGGUGACAGGGCUGAACUGGAAACUUCCCUGGGUUGGGGAGGGCUCUUUGGAUUUUGACUUUGGCACAAAGCAUGUGGUUUCCUUCAUGCUGCUGCCCUCCUCAAGGUGACAGAAUGGCUGCAGC